GCUGAGGCAGGAUAAUUGCCUGAACCCGGGAGACAGAGGUUGCAGUGUGCUGAGAUUAUGCCACUGCACUCCAGCCUGGGUGAAAGAACAAGACUCCAUCUCAGGAAAAAAAAGAAAAAAAGAAAGGGUCUUGUUUAUUUGGCCUUUUUCUCUUCCAUAUAUAACCACCCAUGGCCCACUCCAUGCCCUCAUCUUGUGCCCGUGAAAACUGCAGGCUCAGCCAGCAAAGGCAGGAGAAGCAGCUGGACAUCAGAGAGAAGUGCCUUACUUCAGAGGGACAGCUCGACGGUGUAAAUUUCAAGAAGAAUCCCAGGAGACAGCUGGACUUUGAGGGAAGAUUACCUUCCUUCUCUGUCUGCUUUUCAGCUCCUCUUCCCUCUGAGAGCCACGUCCAACAGCAAUAAAAUCCCCCACAUUUACCAUCCU
rnacentral:lncRNA from 10 species